CCUACGGGCGGCAGCCGUGAGGAAUAUUGGUCAAUGGACGAGAGUCUGAACCAGCCAAGUAGCGUGAAGGAUGACUGCCCUAUGGGUUGUAAACUUCUUUUAUAUGGGAAUAAAACGUUCCACGUGUGGGAUUUUGUAUGUACCAUAUGAAUAAGGAUCGGCUAACUCCGUGCCAGCAGCCGCGGUAAUACGGAGGAUCCGAGCGUUAUCCGGAUUUAUUGGGUUUAAAGGGAGCGUAGGUGGAUUGUUAAGUCAGUUGUGAAAGUUUGCGGCUCAACCGUAAAAUUGCAGUUGAAACUGGCAGUCUUGAGUACAGUAGAGGUGGGCGGAAUUCGUGGUGUAGCGGUGAAAUGCUUAGAUAUCACGAAGAACUCCGAUUGCGAAGGCAGUUCACUGGACUGCAACUGACACUGAGGCUCGAAAGUGUGGGUAUCAAACAGGAUUAGAUACCCUUGUAGUC
rnacentral:rRNA from 1 species